GUCCCUUGAGAAGAUGAGGGUCGAACUCCUUUCAGGUGUGAAGAAGCGCAACAGAGAGACAGUCAUGGAUAAAAUGAACAGAACAUAUGCAUUGAGAAGACAAGAAGUCAUUUUUGAUGCUCCCAUGAUCAGCAAUGUACAAGAGAGAUGGCCGGCUCUUUUUUUUCCAGCGGAGGUAAUUUAAGUGCGGAAAAUGGACGGCAAUAAAUUAAAAAAAUGCAUUGACUAGUUGUGUCAUAGAUGUGUCGAUGUGUAAAGGUACUGCUUGACUUUAUUACAAUGUGUGUCCAUAUAUUGCAUAGCAGAGUCCAGAUGAAGAACCAUGCCCUGUACCUGCCAUUACUUUAAAAUAAUUUCAUGUCGUUUCAGAUAAACGCAGAGUUCAAGCGCAUCACAACCAUGCCUUUACAGUCAAGGUUUCUGUCGCGAUCAGGGGAGCAGGGCAAAAAGCAAAAAGGAUAUAAGUGCCAUGAUGACAGAUGAGAUUGAUGCUUGAAGGGAGUCCCUCAUCAAAGGACUGCGCGUCUAUCUGAAUGAAAAUCCUGACAUCUUGGUGCAGGAGCACAUGGACAUGACCGAGGCCACUGCACUGAGUGGCAUAGAGAAAACAACGGUGGGCAUUUAUGUCUCCAGAGAUGUGCCAGGCAAUGACUUUCCUGAUGUUGGCAUCAUCAUCGAGGGUGUGGUGGUUCUUCAGGAUUUGGAUAGUGUGGCCCUUGCAGUUGCCAUGUUUUUUUUACUGUUUUACUCCUUGAACAUGAUGUACCCAUCACAGCUCUGCUACACUUUUGAGGUGAUUCAGAAGGUGGUAAUGGAAUUGGAUGCAACUCAACUCUCAAGAAAAGCCCAAAAUUUAAAGACAAAACUGUUCAUGUAAGGAAAGUUCACUGUAGCUCUGCAUGUGAGAUGGUUUGCUCUCUCACUUGUUCUCCUGCAUUCUGGAGGUUCAAUAUCAACGACAAAUCAGUGUUCACUGUUGUGUACUUUGUAAAUGCCAUGUGGACAGGACCUGGUUUGUUUUUGUUUUUUCCUUUUUGCUCUCUGUUCAAGUUUUCUAAUUGGCAGCAUUUUUAGAUUUUGGUUUAUUUGUUUUUAAAAGUGAAGAAAUGUAGGGUGUUCAGCCUAAAUAGUCCCAUCAUGGCUGUGUGAAACAGCAUUUUAGGUUUGAUUCAGCUGUUGUAAGAUUGCUUUGAUGGUUUUAUGUUUUAAACCAAGAUGUUGCAGUAUGAUCAGUGCUGAAAUUUUUGAAACUAUUUUUGGAAUUUGUGAAUUUUUGAGUCACUGUAUCACUGUUAUUUCUGUGGCUCUUCAAUAAAGGUUUUUGACAUGCAAGUGGUAUUUUUUUUCUUUUUUUAGUAAUUAGGGCAAAAUGCAUAAUGUUAAUGUUAAUGAUAAGGUUAACAGGAAGGUGUUUCCCAAUCCAGUAAUUUAUUUUAGUGUUAAUGGUAACUAACAUGUCAAAUUAUUAGGGCCCGAGCACUGACAGUGCAAAGGCCCUAUUGU